UACGAAGGGGGCUAGCGUUGUUCGGAAUUACUGGGCGUAAAGCGCACGUAGGCGGAUAUUUAAGUCAGGGGUGAAAUCCCAGAGCUCAACUCUGGAACUGCCUUUGAUACUGGGUAUCUUGAGUAUGGAAGAGGUAAGUGGAAUUGCGAGUGUAGAGGUGAAAUUCGUAGAUAUUCGCAGGAACACCAGUGGCGAAGGCGGCUUACUGGUCCAUAACUGACGCUGAGGUGCGAAAGCUCGGGGAGCGAACGGG
rnacentral:rRNA from 1 species